GUAGUAGCAUUUGACGCACGGAGAAUUUAAAGUUGUUUGGGCGAUGCGGUGGAAAUUUGUCAAGGAUUGGUUUAGGCGUCUCCUGGGGGGGUUCACUCAUAUUGACUUGCGCGUAACCAAGUUUUUGGCCUGAGGGUUUCGCCACCUUGCUUCGCCCACGCGAAACAGACAUCAAUAUGACGAGUACCGGACAGUUUUCAGUUAAGUCAAGUGAUUUAAUGCACAGAAUAUCGCCUGGACGGCUGGCAGACUUUAUGGCGUUGUUUCCAAUUUCAAGGUUACGAGUGACAAGGCGUCUAAUCGAUGUAAUCGAUAGCAUUGAUGUAAACAACUUUAAUGCCGGCAUUGUUUCUUGCUUUCUACAAGUGUUUUAUGAAAUUUAUUAAAAAAUUAGUUCAAUUCUUCAACGUUGCUGUGUACCUCAGUGCGAUGAUACAUCUUCAAAGCGGUGUGCACUUCCUAGAAAUGAAAAGUUGAGAAGCAUUUGGAUCAGGCGGACUGGAUGUGAACAUUUAUUGGCAAAAUGGAAAUUUCGUAGCAGAUUUGUGUCCAGACAUUUUCACGAUGUGUGUUUCAAGACAAACUGGAGACUAUUACUAAAUUGUCUCCCAACAAAAUAUUUUUCAGGUGCCGUUUCCAAGGAGAAUAGCUUCUAUCGAGAGGAUGUAUCAUAUCCUAAGGGAUGAGGGAACCCGUGAAAAAGAUUUCGGCAGAGUCAGGCACGUCCUUCACCAAGUCGAGUCCGCUAGACUCGGUUAUUUAAGCCAGCGAAAGUCUAUCCUGGCAAAACACGCCAAAAACAGCCAACAUAUGUGAUAUUGCUGGAUCAUCACAUGAAUAUGUUAGCACAUCAAAUAUCGCCUCAGUUCCGUGUAAGUAGAUAUACAAUGAAUAAGGAAUAUAGUAGCUUACCUACGGCUUAAGAGUUUAAUCAAUAGCCUACGUUUAAAAUUUGAGCAAAUAUCUCAUUAACUGUAGGAAUUAAAGAGAAAAUAUUAACAUUUUUUUAAAAGGUUAACACCCUGUAUGUCGCGUUGACCAUGGGCCUGAGAAAAAAAAAACCUUAAAUGGAAACUCGACUUGUUUUCAGGUCGUCUACACGCCCUUGCUGUGUGUCUAUAAGGUUGCGAAUCACCCUGUAUAUAAAUAUCCUCUUCGUAGAAAAUGGGAUUAAAGGAAAUUUUGUUUUCUUGGACUUCAUGCAGUGUAAUAGUAUAUUACAUAAUAAGAGUUGUAAGUAGCACUUUGCGUAAUAAUUCCAUGAGUACCAUACUUUACCUACGAUCGUAUUAACUUACUAAAACUAAAGGACAAAUUUGUAUGUUUUAUAUAUUGUAUAUUGACAAUUUGUAUAUACUUACAGUAGUGGCCAUAGGUAAAAUGAUUUUAUUACUUUUUACUUAUUUUAUUCAUACGUAUUACCGUAGAUUUUAGACUUAUGGAAACCGAUUUUAUGGUACACAAGUAUAUGUCGGGAUAAAUUAUUGUGAUAUUCAUAUGCCUACCUAAAAAUGUAUCUGCUUUCAUAAUUGUAGUUAAGUAAUUAAUUUAUUUGUUGUUACAUUGAAUUAUUUGUUUAUUUUCUUACACCUUCAUUCAUAACGUGAUAAUUUUGCUUUUUGAACAAAGGUUUGUUGUUUGCAUGAUACAUUUUUCACAAAUUAAUGCUACUUGGCGUUUUGCCUAUUUAUUUACUGCAAUAAAAAUUGAAAAUGA